AUACAAUUCAUGUGUAGCUACAUGAACUGGUGCUACCAGAACACACGAGUAGUUAAGUUGUAGCAAAUUAAAGGUAUAUGCAUUCUGAGGAUAAUUUGGUAUUUUUUUUCAAGCCAUCUUAUUGAGUUUGUUUCUGGCAUCUUUGCUUGGUCGAUGCUUCGGUGAAGUUUUUUUGACAUAGAUUAGAGAAAAAGAAAGAUAAGAGCGACUAGAUUAGGGAAAAAGAGAGCCAUACGGGUGGUUGGUCAGCUAGCAUUGCUUCUGGGGUGAUAUUGCCAUGUGAGAUUCCUGGGUCCUGUUUUUCCAGCAACCCCUAUGUAAUUCGAACUUUCGAUGUUGCUUCUUGCUAGAAUUAGCUAGGGAAUCAUUUUUACAUCUUGCUAGAAUUAAUAUCCUGUUCUUAGCUUUAUCUUUCUCAAGUAUGGAGAUAUCCUUCACAAAUGACAAACCAAUCAUUCAUUAAUCGUCUGGGUCUUACUUUUGCAGCGAUGCCUCAAUUGUGUGGUGGUCAGCUAUGUGCUCAGCACAAAGCACCUAAGUACAAUGGUCUGUUUGGCUGAAUGAGUUUUCUUCUCUUAAGUUAUUAUUUGUGGUACAUGAGUCCUGGAAUAAUUUUUCUUCCUAAGUAGUAAUUUUUCUGCCUAAGUAGUAAAUUAUGCAUACAACAAUCAAAUUCUACAAAUUCUUUUGCCUUUUCCAAUUGCAGUAGUUACAGGUUAGUUUUGGUUCUCAUGUUCCUCGAAUCCUAAUAUCUGCAUUUCUAUUUUAGAUCGUGUGCUGGAAAUGGAUAUAAUCAUUGGCUUACUGAAUAUGAGAAGGAUGUAGAUGUUUACUGAAUACCAAGUAGUGCAACAGAUUGGUUGUGAUUGUAAACUUCACUAUUUUGGGAAUUCUAGAUGAAGAUCCUGCAGAAUAAGGUGAUAAUUGCUGGACAAACGUGGAAUAGUUAAAAAUUGUUGUGUGUAGACAAGGUUAACAAUUUGCUCCAACUCAUCAGUAUCACUCUACUAUUCUAUAUCAUUGUAAAUUGCAGGUGAUAUUAUGAACAAAAUUGGAGAUGAUCAGGAUUAAUUAUGAAAUUUAACUCAGGUAAAUCAUCAGCUACACACUCCAAUUAUAUCGACAAGUCAAUUGAAACCCUGUGUGUUCUGAAUUAUGGUGUAUAUAUGGUUUAGUUGUCUUUGCUGCCUUUGUGAUGAGUAAACUGCACUGCGCAAACACUAUCUAUGUCAAGUAUAAUUUGGCAUUUCCCCUGUGUUGAGAUAUGUAACUUUUAGCAUGUAAAUCGUGCUCCCUUGUUAAAAUGCUGUAGUUGGAAGGGAGAUUCAACUUGAGGAAAUUUUCUCCAACUCAUCAGUAUUACUCUAUUAUUCUAUAUCAUUGUAAAUUGCAGGUGAUGCUAUGAAGAAGCUUGAGGAAAAACAACUAUAAUGGAAGGGAGAUUCAUAUGUGUUUUGGUUAUUUUUGGCUAAAAAUAUGGAAUGGAUAAAAUUGUUGCAUGCCUAGACGAUUCUGUGAGGUCUUUUCUUUCUGGUUCAGAUGGCAAGAAUGCUCAAAAUGUGAUAGCUGAUUUCUGAAUAACAGUUAUUUGGGGAAUAUAUAUGCUACACUUGUCAUUCUCAAAAUGUGUGUGUUCGGAUGGAGCUGGAUCGGCAUGCUGGGCAAGAACCAAAGACCAGCGCGGCCACGCUUCAGUUCCAGAUGGAGGAGAUGGGCGUUCCGGAGGCCAACCUCUCACGCGUGCUCUAUCGUUGGUUGUGCCUGCUCGUGUCCCCUCUCGUGGCGCGGCUCCACCCAUGCUCUACUCCCUGCGAUGGAGAAGGUGCCCACUUGGCCAGCAAGGAUGCGUUCCAGUACAGCGCGCAACACUAACGCUCCUGUGCCGAGCCGUCGCCAAGCUGACGAAUAUGAUAGAAUCUGAUCUGGUACUUCACUGGCGGUCCUUUCAACUCAAACCAUCAUUUUUGAAGGAUGGCAGCAGCUGGUUGAUGAUAUGCUGAGAGAGGGAUAAUAUCCACUACUCAUUCACAACUGAACGAACUUUGGUAAACCCUGUUGGCGCUGGUAUAGUAGCAGCAGUAGGUAUACCACAGUUGCAUAGCAUCCUUGAGAGCCCUGAGAAUGGUAGCGUAGAUGACAGAGACAAAUCUGGAAAAAGAAGUGGUUUAAUCUAAACCUUAACAGAUCUGACAAGAAAGCCUGAAGAGUCUUGCCGGUGAGCUCACAAUUAUAGAGGGUGGGGAACUUAUAGCAGGUUAUGUGACCUGAGAAGCUUUAGUCAACAAGCAGAGUUUUUGUGGCAUAGAAUUGAAAUGAUGUCUUGGGUUCAAUGGAAUGUGUAACUGUAAAUGUACUUGGGAACCCUCAUUGAAUUGUUUAUGGAAUUUUGCUCCUGGUAGAUCUUUUUUUUAA